rnacentral:lncRNA from 1 species
GCUGUUGUGAGUGGCCUUGCCUCACUGUGUCGUCUAGGUCGCUCUGAUACGUAACGGGAUGGGGUUUUGAUAUGCAUGCUUCAUUCUAUUACGUGAAACGUUUAUGUUAUUUUUAUAAGAUUGUUUAACUUUUGAAAUACUUUGAUGAGGCCUGCGUGCCAAAGCGUUUUAUGGAUUAUGAAAUAAUUUCCGCUGCAAUGUUUAAGAUAUUUGGUUAAAUUGUUAUUUAACUGUUUUGGAUUAUGUUAAAUGUGAUUUCUCGUUUGUUU